AACUGCCAAUAACGCAGAUUACGAUUUAGCCUUAGCUGCUUAAUCCUUGGUUGCUCUUCAUACCAAGUGUCCAAGAAGAGCAAAAAAAGAACGCGCUUUUGUCAGUGUGAGCGGCUUAAUCAAAUUGACUAUUUUGUCCGUUAAGAAAAACCGAGACUAUGCUUGUGAACGACUUGAAGGAUAAUUGCUUUGGACGUGGGUUCGAUUCCCACCACCUCCACCA
rnacentral:tmRNA from 1 species